rnacentral:rRNA from 1 species
GACGAACUGCCCGAACGUUGUUCGGAAUCACUGGGCUUAAAGGGCGCGUAGGCGGCAUUCCGAGUCGGGGGUGAAAUCCGGGCAGCUCAACUGUCGAAGUGCCUUCGAUACUGGAAUGCUCGAGGGAGGUAGGGGUCGAUGGAACUUCCGGUGGAGCGGUGAAAUGCGUUGAUAUCGGAAGGAACGCCGGUGGCGAAAGCGAUCGACUGGACCUCUUCUGACGCUGAGGCGCGAAAGCCAGGGGAGCGAACGGG